rnacentral:lncRNA from 1 species
GACAGCCUGUCCCCCACAAGGCGGGCAGACAGGCAGAAGCCCCUCCCGGGAGUGAGUGACAGUUUUCCCACUUUCCCACACAGAGUACCCAGCCUCGACGUCUGAAGGCUGAGCUCCAGCGUCUGCAAUGAGCCCCAGGAAGACAUGAGGAAUCUGAGGAUCAGAGCUGGAGGCUGCUACUGACCUUGCCAGAUAGACCCUAGCCAGGGAGCGGUCAGUGCAAGUACACAGACCCUUGGCCAGAGUGUUGGGCUAAUACCUGGGGCUAGGAAAAUCAUGAGGGAGGCAAACCCUGUAGUGGCCUGACCCUUCAGGGAUGACAGCUCCGACACCAAGCUCCCAUCACAUGAGGGCUCCCUGGCACAGGGGCUGGUGGGAGGUCUGAGGCUCAGGACCCUCUUCCACCAUCCCCCCUCCUUCCCAGGCUGACAAAGCUCCUGGCAGUACUGAACUGUCCAGGGGCCUCACACCCUCCUCCCGUCAUCUGUCAUCUGUCCCCACUAAUGCUCCCAAUGACAGAGCUCGGAGCCAGACCAGAGGAGUCCGAGGCGCUUCCACACCAGGGGAUCUGAUGCGUCUUCAAAUGAAUUUGCACAAACUUGCCUGGCAGGAGGGUGGGCUCCAGGCUGGACAAGCAAGGCCGAGCACAGUUUCAUGGCUGAUCCUGCCAGUGUGCACCCGUGAACUGGGGAUUCUGGACUCAGGUAUACCCUCCCACAACUGGAGAAGAGCAGUGUGGACCUCCCUGGCCCCUCUGAGGCUGGCUCAAAGGCAGACCAACUGGGAGGGAGCUCAUGGUGGGGUCCGGAGAAUUCUGUACGGUCUAGGACUGAAACCCCUGGCCAGGAGCCCUGCAGGAAGAGGCCAGUUCCCAGGGCAGCCCUGCUCCAGAGCCCCAUGCAGCCUCCUCUGCAGGUCCGUCAGGGCACAGCUUGCCUGGGCACUGGGCUUUAUCAGGCUCAUUGUUGGUUUCUCCUAAGAAAGAUGGGGCACUCAGAAGUGGCCAGAGCUGGCUGGCCUUGGUAAGAAUCUCCAUGCUUGAGUCCAAGCGGGGCCUCAGUCCUAGCCACCAGAGCCACCUGCUUGGUGACCUUAUGGAGCAGCCCUGGGUGACACCUGACAUGCAAAGUUGUCACUGUCCCAACCUCAGAGCCUCCUCACACCCAUGGGUAUUCCCACCCUCUUCAUCCCCGUGCCCUGCCAGGCCCCCUGUGUACCUAUUCUGUGCUCUCUGAGUCUCUGGCCACCACAAGCACUAGCUGUGGCCUGUGAUCCUUCCUCAGGGACUAUGAGUGGCCAGGCACAUGGCUUCAAAUGCUGCCAGCUGGCGCAUCUCCCUGCCAUCCCUGGUGGGACUACGGGGCUGUCCUCCCAGCUGGGUCCAAUGCACUGGGCAAAGCCAUUGGCAGCUUGAGGACCCAUCUCUGUCACCUGGCAGUGGGUGUGAGCCUCAGGCUCCAGGAGGGCUGUACAGCUGGCAGGAGGCAGGUGCAGGGACACAGGAAGCAACACCUGACUCUGCAGACAGCCAGCUCCUCAGGACACACUGGUGCUGGGCUGCUUUCCUGUACCCAGAGUGCUGCUGCCCUGCCCAGUUUUAUGGUAGCUCCCUGUUUAUCAUGGGCAACUGGGACACCUGUCUCUGCUUACUGGCCACAUGGCUCAUCUCCAC